UACGAAGGGGGCUAGCGUUGCUCGGAAUCACUGGGCGUAAAGCGCACGUAGGCGGAUUGCUAAGUCAGGGGUGAAAUCCUGGAGCUCAACUCCAGAACUGCCUUUGAUACUGGGAGUCUCGAGUCCGGGAGAGGUGAGUGGAACUGCGAGUGUAGAGGUGAAAUUCGUAGAUAUUCGCAAGAACACCAGUGGCGAAGGCGGCUCACUGGCCCGGUACUGACGCUGAGGCGCGAAAGCGUGGGGAGCAAACAGG
rnacentral:rRNA from 1 species